rnacentral:rRNA from 1 species
UGGAAGUAGCAGCGUAACAAGGUUUCCGUAGGUGAACCUGCGGAAGGAUCAUUAUUGAUUUUAUCUAUUUCUGUGGAUUUCUAUUCUAUUACAGCGUCAUUUUAUCUCAAUUAUAACUAUCAACAACGGAUCUCUUGGCUCUCACAUCGAUGAAGAACGCAGCGAACCGCGAUAUUUUUUGUGACUUGCAGAUGUGAAUCAUCAAUCUUUGAACGCACAUUGCGCGGUAUGGCAUUCCGUACCGCACGGAUGGAGGAGCGUGUUCCCUCUGGGAUCGCAUUGCUUUCUUGAAAUGGAUUUUUUUAAACUCUCAAUUAUUACGUCAUUUCACCUCCUUCAUCCGAGAUUACCCGCUGAACUUAAGCAUAUCAAUAAGCGGAGGAAG